rnacentral:rRNA from 1 species
UACGGAGGGUGCGAGCGUUGUCCGGAAUCACUGGGCGUAAAGGGCGCGUAGGUGGCGCGACAAGUCAACGGUGAAAGCUCGGGGCUCAACCCCGAGUCGGCCGUCGAUACUGUUGGGCUCGAGCACUGUAGAGGCAGGUGGAAUUCCGGGUGUAGCGGUGGAAUGCGUAGAGAUCCGGAAGAACAUCAGUGGCGAAGGCGGCCUGCUGGGCUGUUGCUGACGCUGAGGCGCGACAGCGUGGGGAGCAAACAGG